rnacentral:rRNA from 1 species
AGCAGUGGGGAAUAUUGGACAAUGGACCAAAAGUCUGAUCCAGCAAUUCUGUGUGCACGAUGAAGGUCUUCGGAUUGUAAAGUGCUUUCAGGUGGGAAGAAGAAAGUGACGGUACCACCAGAAGAAGCGACGGCUAAAUACGUGCCAGCAGCCGCGGUAAUACGUAUGUCGCAAGCGUUAUCCGGAAUUAUUGGGCGUAAAGCGAGUCUAGGCGGCUUGUUAAGUCAGAUGUGAAAAUGCGGGGCUCAACUCCGUAUUGCGUUUGAAACUGGCAGGCUAGAGUACUGGAGAGGUGGGCGGAACUACAAGUGUAGAGGUGAAAUUCGUAGAUAUUUGUAGGAAUGCCGAUAGUGAAGACAGCUCACUGGACAGAUACUGACGCUAAAGCUCGAAAGCGUGGGGAGCGAACAGGAUUAGAUACCCUGGUAGUCCACGCCGUAAACGAUGUUCACUGGGUGUAGGGGGUCGAACCUCUGUGCCGAAGCUAACGCGAUA